rnacentral:lncRNA from 1 species
GUGGGGAGUUGGGAGGAAAUGAAUGGAUGAAGAAUGAGUGAAUGAAUGAAUGAAUGAAUGAAUGAACGAAAGGAAGGAUUUGGUCCACAAAUAUUCACAAAUGCGGAGUGUGCAGCAGCUGACAGCAGGACCCAGGGUUAAGCAGCAGGUUAGAUGAAUACCUGUUGCUCCUUGAGAUUGAGGCGCAGCCUCAUCUUUGCCUUGUGGGCUGGUCAGAAGUUGGGUUUUCCACAGCUUCAGCCUUACUGGCCAUAAGUGGCUCUUCCUCCCCCUUCAGGUUGGGACCCGACACAGGCUUCACCUCUUUUAGUACUACAGAGCUCUGAUGAGACUUCUGUCUGUCCAAGAAAGUAGUGAACGAGGGCCGCUGCCUGUAGCUUUCUGACUUCGGUACCUCAGAGUCCAUGUGGCCCCAUAACUCUGAUACAGUUGGGGCCCGAUCAUCAGGAAACGGGGUUGGCCCAGCCCAGGCACUCACCCUCCCAUUCCGUUUUCCACCUCUUCUCAGGGUCAGAGUCCCAGUCCUCCGCCUCUUGUACCACAACAGUAGUAGCGCCAGGAGAACCAAAACCACCAACAAGAAAGAAGUACAUGUGGAAAUUA